rnacentral:rRNA from 1 species
GACGUAGGGCGCGAGCGUUGUCCGGAUUUAUUGGGCGUAAAGAGCUCGUAGGCGGCUUGUCGCGUCGACUGUGAAAACCCGAGGCUCAACUUCGGGCUUGCAGUCGAUACGGGCAGGCUAGAGUUCGGUAGGGGAGACUGGAAUUCCUGGUGUAGCGGUGAAAUGCGCAGAUAUCAGGAGGAACACCGGUGGCGAAGGCGGCUUGCUGGGCCAGUUCUGACGCUGAGGAGCGAAAGCGUGGGGAGCGAACAGG